UAGCAGUCAGUUUUUAGUAAAGUAAUAACAAAUAUUAUAUUGCAUUAAUGUUAGUGGUGGGCGCAAAGGCUGCUGGAUUAUGAAGGUGUGCAACUGUGCUCCCUGUCCUGCCACGGUCCCGGAUCGCCUCUCCGGUGCUCUACCCAGAAGAACAAGGCAGCUCCACCUCUGUGGCUUUGCAGGUCUGGAGGCUACAGGGGCUGCAGGAGUCCCCAGUCGCAUGUUGGUUUUGGAUAGCAA
rnacentral:lncRNA from 1 species